AGGACGAACGCUGGCGGCGUGCUUAACGACAUGCAAGUCGAGCGGUGAUCCUCCUUCGGGAGGUGAGCAGCGGCGAACGGGUGAGUAACACGUGGGCAACCUGCCCCUCACACUGGGAUAACCUCGGGAAACCGGGGCUAAUACCGGAUAUGACCUCGAGCGGCAUCUCUUGAGGUGGAAAGCUCCGACGGUGAGGGAUGGGCCCGCGGCCUAUCAGCUUGUUGGUGGGGUAAUGGCCUACCAAGGCGACGACGGGUAGCCGGCCUGAGAGGGCGACCGGCCACACUGGGACUGAGACACGGCCCAGACUCCUACGGGAGGCAGCAGUGGGGAAUAUUGCGCAAUGGGCGAAAGCCUGACGCAGCGACGCCGCGUGAGGGAUGAAGGCCUUCGGGUUGUAAACCGUCUUUCAGCAGGGACGAAGCGAAAGUGACGGUACCUGCAGAAGAAGCACCGGCUAACUACGCGCCAGCAGCCGCGGUAA
rnacentral:rRNA from 1 species